rnacentral:lncRNA from 1 species
AAACUUCAGAAAGUAGGUUUGAUAAAAAUAAUUUCAUCUGAUAAUUAAUCUGCAAGAUUUCCCCCUCAUUACGGACAAAUCAUGAACAAUGUCGUCCUGAAUAUAUUUCUUUUUUGAAUCUUGCCCAUUUGCACUUAUAUUACGGCUAUGCUUAUGAUUUUCAAGCUUACAAAGUUUCCAAGGUAGACAAUAUUCAUUUAUCCACGAACAGACGAAAUUCUCCUAAGUGUACAAAUUGUUAGUUUUACUCAGGAAUUGACAUAUUGAGAACGUUUAUAUAUCCUAUUGAAUGGCUGUCGCCAUUGUAACUCAAU